UGCUUUUGAUGGGCGUCGACCGGCGCACGGGUGAGUAACGCGUAUCCAACCUGCCCACCACUUGGGGAUAACCUUGCGAAAGUAAGACUAAUACCCAAUGAUAUCUCUAGAAGACAUCUGAAGGAGAUUAAAGAUUUAUCGGUGAUGGAUGGGGAUGCGUCUGAUUAGCUUGUUGGCGGGGUAACGGCCCACCAAGGCUACGAUCAGUAGGGGUUCUGAGAGGAAGGUCCCCCACAUUGGAACUGAGACACGGUCCAAACUCCUACGGGAGGCAGCAGUGAGGAAUAUUGGUCAAUGGACGAGAGUCUGAACCAGCCAAGUAGCGUGCAGGAUGACGGCCCUAUGGGUUGUAAACUGCUUUUAUAAGGGAAUAAAGUGAGUCUCGUGAGACUUUUUGCAUGUACCUUAUGAAUAAGGACCGGCUAAUUCCGUGCCAGCAGCCGCGGUAAUACGGAAGGUCCGGGCGUUAUCCGGAUUUAUUGGGUUUAAAGGGAGCGUAGGCCGGAGAUUAAGCGUGUUGUGAAAUGUAGAUGCUCAACAUCUGCACCGCAGCGCGAACUGGUUUCCUUGAGUACGCACAAAGUGGGCGGAAUUCGUGGUGUAGCGGUGAAAUGCUUAGAUAUCACGAAGAACUCCGAUUGCGAAGGCAGCUCACUGGAGCGCAACUGACGCUGAAGCUCGAAAGUGCGGGUAUCGAACAGGAUUAGAUACCCUGGUAGUCCGCACGGUAAACGAUGGAUGCCCGCUGUUGGUCUGAAUAGGUCAGCGGCCAAGCGAAAGCAUUAAGCAUCCCACCUGGGGAGUACGCCGGCAACGGUGAAACUCAAAGGAAUUGACGGGGG
rnacentral:rRNA from 1 species